rnacentral:tRNA from 1 species
UCCCUGGUGGCUCAGAUGGUAAAGCGUCUGCCUACAAUGCGGGAGACCCGGGUUCAAUCCCUGGAUCGGGAA